UUAGGUAAAGUCCUAAUAGCCAUAAACAAAAUGUCCACUGUACAUAAUGGAUUAAUAGAAAUAUUUGACAAUACAAUGAAAUUAACCGCCGUUAUAAUGAGAGGUUGAGAGCAGUAAAGUAACGGUUACCCGAACAGACUCAGCUCAAUUUCUACUUGUUGCCAGGUAACCUAACGUUAGCUUCAAUAAAACUAAAGUUAGCAGGUAACGUUAACGACUUUAACUCGAUUCUUAAUUUCAACAGUCACAAAUACUUGAUUGGCCGGAUAUUAUCCUCACUCACGAGUUUCCUGUUUCCUGUUUGCCAACCGCCAAAAAGAAGAAAAUGAAGAAGAGGGAAAAAAAUAAAAAUAAUAAGUAGCUUCUAGCUCAAUUUAAAACCAAAAUUGACUUGUUUCAUGGUCGACAACAGGGGAAGAGAUAGAUGUUGUAAACACUGGGGCUAAGCCUAAACCUAGCAGCAGAGCGUCCCAGGUGUGUGAGAGCAUGUGUGUUCCUUCAUCCCGGUUUAUUGUUGUAUUCCCCCAUCUUCUGAUCUCUAGUGGUCAACCUGACAAACCUGCCAGUUGUCAGGUUGACCACGCCCCAUGAGGAACUCCACAAAAGACACGUCACAGCGAUCAGCUGACACCACUGAAGAAGACUGAAGUUGUCAGUCGAAACAUGUCAGAAGAACUUACAGACCAAAAACAGAGAGAACCAUGUCAUGGUGUAUGCUGCCACCAUGUGGGACAUCUCUACGGCCAGUUAACUGUGGAUUUAAAGCAACUGAUCUGGUGCAGAACAAACAGGAGCCUACAACUUUAGAGGGCAGCAGUUGCCCCUCCUGAUCCGACCACUGUCGACUCUCCUCAGCCCACCUGAUGCUCUCCGCGGCUGAUGUGAGACGAGAACUCGUAGCGGUCCUGGCUGCGGUGGCCACAG